AAUUAUAUUUAAUUACAAGUGUGCCCCUGGUAGUCUUUAACUGAAGGGCACUGACUGGGUCACUGGUGAAGUUCCCCGCAGGAACUGAGUCAGACCCCAUCUCAGGGCCCUGCACAAGAUAGGUGCCUGCUCUAAGGCGUGGACCCUCGCCACAGCCCUGGCCCGUCUUGACGGGCGAGGGUUACUGUACUUGUCCCAACCGUACAGAUGAGAAAGCUGAGACUCAGGGCCAGCAACCCGGGUCCCAGCGGAGCGCCCGGCACACGCCGACACUUCAGCACCAGUGGCGGUGGCCACCACUGUGGGCGGAGAUGGCUGCGACGCGUGCGCAGAUCUCGAUCCCAAACUCCCUCCUGCCAGAAUCUGGACCCGAAUCCACCCAUUGCCCGUUUUCCGCUGCCGCUGGAGAGAAUCUCUGAGGUCCCCAGGAGAGCCUGCCUGCACGGAAGAGACGCCUCCUCGAUACCUGGGAGAGAGGAUUUUUCAUGUUACCAACACAAAGAAAUGAUAAAGUGCUUCCCUUGCAGGUG
rnacentral:lncRNA from 10 species